GAUAAGCAUGCCCUAUUCACACAUAGGGACACGAUAUCGAAUCCGAUACUUUACUCAUAUCGCUACCUUUUGAUUCGAUACUAGUAUUCAGAAAUUCGAUACUUCCUUUCGAUACUUAGUACUAAUAUCAGUACUUAGCAUCAAGUAUCGAUUCCAUAAAAAGAAAAAAUAAACGAGCAACUAACUCAUAAAUACCAAUUUAACGCCUCUGCUUAAUAGGUUUUCUGAACUGAACGUAAUUUAAU